GUCGUAACCAUACCUUUGCCGGUCCCAAGUCCGGAUGAGAAAAUGGGAGGGCGAC
rnacentral:ribozyme from 2 species